rnacentral:rRNA from 1 species
CCUGCGGAAGGAUCAUUGUCGAUACCUGCUUGGCAGAACAACAUGCGAACGUAUUCAUGAAGGAAAAAGAAUUCGAGCUUCGGGCGAGUUGGCAUCUAGCCCUGGCUAGUGCCUCCUUGUUCCGUGGCCUAACCUCAAAACCUAGCACGAGUUGUGCCAAGGAAUCUACGAUGGGCGGACUGCGCCUAGAAGCGCACGGUCUCCUUAUAUAGUCGAUAAAAAUGACUCUCGGCAACGGAUAUCUCGGCUCUCGCAUCGAUGAAGAACGUAGCGAAAUGCGAUACUUGGUGUGAAUUGCAGAAUCCCGCGAACCAUCGAGUCUUUGAACGCAAGUUGCGCCCUAAGCUUUAGGCCGAGGGCACGCCUGCCUGGGUGUCACACAUUGUCGCCUCCAAAGCCCUUUGCUCUCGAAGCAUUGCUGGCGGAAAAUGGCCUCUCGUGCGCUCGCUCGCGUGGUUGGCUGAAAAUCAGUGCCAAGGUGUGGAGCGCCACGACCACCGGUGGUUGGCACGUUCCAAUGACCCUCUUGCACGGUCGUGCGCUGCUCCAACUUGAAUGCGGUGCCUAUUUGUGACCCCAUACGCGUUGCUUUGUUGACGCUCGCUAUGCGACCCCAGG